ACCUCUCUAACACCCCAGACAUGCCAUGUACCCGCCUGCUCCAAGUCCUCCACCAUCAUCCCAGUCCCCAAGAACACAAGGAUCACAGGACUAAAUGACUUCAGACCCGUCGCCCUGACCUCUUUGGACAUGAAGUCUUUUGAGCACCUUGUUCUGGCUGACCCUCAAAACCCUCAGCGACCCACUCCUGGACCCCCUGCAGUUCGCCUAUAGAGCCAACAAGGUCUGAAGACGACGCGGCCCACAUGGCUUUUCAUUUCAUCCUUUGGCACCUGGACUCUUCAGGGUCCUACGCCCAAUCCUGUUUGUGGAC